AGCUUGAUUGCAAGACAUACAGGUCGAGCAAGGAUGAAAAUCGGACUUAGUGAUCCGGUGGUUCUGCGUGGAAGGGCCAUCGCUCAACGGAUAAAAGCUACCCUGGGGAUAACAGGCUUAUCUCCCCCAAGAGUCCACAUCGACGGGGAGGUUUGGCACCUCGAUGUCGGCUCAUCACAUCCUGGGGCUGUAGUAGGUCCCAAGGGUUGGGCUGUUCGCCCAUUAAAGUGGUACGCGAGCUGGGUUCAGAACGUCGUGAGACAGUUCGGUCCCUAUCCGUCGCAGGCGUAGGAAAGUUGAGAAGACCUGUCCUUAGUACGAGAGGACCGGGAUGGACGUACCUCUGGUGUACCAGUUGUCCUGCCAAGGGCAUGGCUGGGUAGCUAUGUACGGAAUGGAUAAGCGCUGAAAGCAUCUAAGCGCGAAGCCAACUUCAAGAUAAGAUUUCCCACCGCAAGGGUAAGACCCCAGAAAGACUAUCUGGUUG
rnacentral:rRNA from 1 species